AUUUUCCUAAAUUUGUAGAUUUUUUUAUUAUUCUUUUUCUAGCAGUAGCAAUAUUAUGACUGUGCAGAUCAGUUUUACUUCUACUGGUCACAAGCCUGUGGGCAAUGGCCAAUGCCAGUUUGCUGCUACUGCAGAAGCUAAGAGCAGUCACAGGCCCUAAAAUUAAUCCCAGGGGAAAUCAGAUAAAGAAGCAGAAAUAUUUCAUGCAGCAACCAGAUUCUGAUGUUGUCUUUGGUCAGGCUUGAGCUACAAGCUGAAUAUGAGAUUGAGGGGAAUCUUUGCCUUGUAUCAGAAAACAACUUGUGGAAAGGAGAGAGUGACUUCUGCUAUACUGUGGGGAAACGUGGUUUCCUGAGUUUACUUGUGAGUGACAGGAGAGAGGGAUUUAUGAGUCCAAGCAAGGCAUAUGGGUAUAGAAGCAGUCAGUGAUGGGGUGUAUUGUUAGGUCUGAGGAUAAGUGCAUAAGAAUGAAGAACUCAGAAUGGGUAUCAGAGAAGGGGUUUCAAUAAGAGUUGGAAAGAUCACAGUUGGAUAAAUACACUGAGGUCAGUUGAAAGUCACUUUACUAGAGAACAUGGCUACAGCUCUCUAUCUGAGUCUAGCUCGCACCACACUUUUCCUAGCUACACUCUUACCUGUCUUCUGGAACCUCAGCUUCUUCUCCAGUUUCUGCACAUAACCCUUUUAAGUGGAAAACCUACUUUACUGCUUACUCCAGGAACAAUUACAUGCAAAGGUACAAAUGGUCCUAUAAAUCUUUAUGUCUUCUGUCCCAUUAUACUUUCUUCAGCCUCCUGUCUGUGAAGUUCUGUACUGCAGAUGCAGAUGGACAAAUGAAUCACAGAAUAGAAUCAUUUAGAUUGGAAAAGACCCUUAAGAUUGUCAAGUUAACCAUAAACCUAACAGUGAAAGUCCACCACUAAAUUGUGUCCCUAAGUGCUGUGCCCACGUCUUUUAAAUGCCCUGGAUGACCUGCUCUAGUGCGUAUCAACCCUCUCAGUGAAGAAAUGUUUCCUAAUAUCCAAUCUAAACCUUCUCUGGAGCAACUUGAGUCCAUUUCCUCUUAUCCUGUCACUGGUUACUACCUGGGAGAAUAGACUGACCCCCACUUGGCUCCACCACUCCUUUCAGGCAGUUAUAGAGAGUGAUAAGGUCUCCCCUGAGCCUUCUUUUCUCCAGGCUGAACAAUUUCAGCUCCCUCAGCUGCUCCUCAUAGGACCUGAGAUCCAGACCCUUCCCCAGCUCCAUAUCCCUUCUCUGAUGCUCCAGUACCUCCAUGUCCUUCUUGUAGUGAGGAGCCCCAGACUGAACACGGUACUGGCAGCAUGGCGUCACCAGUGAAUACAAAAUGAUUCAAAUGAGAUGCUGUGGAAAACUGGCUGCACAAUGACUGCCGGAGUUCAUGAUUCCUGAGAAGUAACACCUUGAAGUUCUGGCACUAUCUUCUACAAAGUAACUUACACUGAGCUGGCUUCCUGUUACUGUGUCAAUGAAACAUCAAAUGUUGAUACUAUGUGUGAAACAACAUUUGAUAUUGUGGCUAUUAAGCUGCUUGAAAAAAUUCUAUACAGAUGGUUUUUAUGUUUACAAGACCUUGCAUUUAAAAAUGUAUGUCAUGGAUGCAGGUAAUAAAUAUUGUUUAUGAAUUGUUGCAGGAUAGAAAAUACUUAUAAUUGUGUACAAGAUGUUAGUCUUAGCUCUCGCUAUUUUUAUCUUCUAAAUAUCUUAUAAUAAGGUGGUUAUAAAUAUUUAAAGAUAUGAAUCAUUUAAUUUGUUGAAGCACGGUGUGCAUCAUUUAGAAUGGUGGUAAAGGAGAAAAGUGGACAUGCCCUUCUCGUAACAGCUAAACAUGAAAAUAAGUUAUCAGAGAUAAUGAUAUAAUUCAAAUUUUUAGAAAUUGUUAUGUUUUUCUGUAUAAGCAUAGCUCUUUACAGAAUUAUGAUCUCAUCCUAAGGUUACAGUUAUCUAAAUAGAUUAAUUGCUGAAUUUUAUUCUAGUGUUUUUAUAUCUUUGCUGGAAGUAAGAGAAUACAAACAUUUAAAAUUUAAAUUAUUGAUUUUCGGCCAUGCUACAACUUUCAGAACUUAGUAUUUAACCCCAGGAUUUGUUCCAUAGCUCUUUUAAAUUCUGGAAUUCCAAAAAUUGUUCAGGUGAGUAGGAAAAAGCAUAGAAAGAAACUGAAAUGGGGAGAAGGAAAUCACACUCCUUUACAAAAGAAAAGAUUAAAAAAACUUAAUGAGCAUAGGAGAAAUAAUAGGGUGAAAGAGAGGAGUCAGGUGAAUAUUUCCAGUAAUAUUUUUUAUAUUGUGCUCAGAUAUGUUAUGCUUUGUGCUUACAUGGAAAACAGAGUGAGAUUUCAGCUUUCUAACUGCUGUUCUGAGCUGUACUUUACUCCCUGUGCUUUUUUAUUUUAGCACAGUCACUUCUAAGGAAGGCUUUAAAUUGGCUUUCAGGGCCAACCUGAAUCACACAAUUCAUUAUCCUGCUGAAAUGAUGACUACCCCAAUGUUUGUCUUCCCAAGUUAGUAUUAAAAACCUACUAUUAAACAUGAAAAAAAAUCAGAACCAUUUUAAAAAUACAUAUUUCUGUUAAUUCUAGUCACUAGCAUUUGGGAAAAGGGACAAGCAGGCACUCAGUAACAGUAAAGAGUGUCAGAAUUUCUGUGUGAAACCUAAUUGUAAUAGUACUGAAAUAGAAAAUAAAACCUGCUAAUUAGAUGUUACUCAGGAGGAUUAGGAAAAGUCAAUCAAUUCAUAACUAAAUGUAGCUGUAGAACAAUGGAUUACUUACAUUGGCACUCAUUACAGGUUAGACAUCAGUGUGGAUUUCAUCCAUAAGCUGUAAUAAAAUAAAAUAAGUUAGGAAAUUGCAAAAAAAAAAAAGGUUCAUUCAGUAAUUUGUCCAUAGAUGUUCUUAGUUUCUGCAUGAUUCCCAUAAGUAUAUACAGUAUUAUAGCAAGAGUAUAUAUUUAGGGAAAUCCUAUACUUUUUAAACUAAGCAAUUAACAAAUAUUCAUACAGUGACUAUAACUGGUCUUCAUGAAUUAACACACAAAAAACCCCAUUUAACUACAGGGAUAAGGAUGUCCCAUUUUUGGUACAUUCAUGCAGUGGUACGCAUAAAACAUUUUAACUGUUCACCUGAGCAACACUUCAGUGUAACUGAGCCCUGAGCUGGUGGAUGGCAGAAUAACAUCCUCUCUAAAAGGGGACAGAGAGUGAAAAUGGGUGGGGCAGGGAGAGGUCUUAUGGUGCCAGUUCACAAUUAAUUUUGGAAUGGUAACAUCUACUUUUUGGAAUGUAGUGUAUUAAUUUCUGCUGAUAGAGAUAGGUCAGCAUAAGAACUAUGCUAUAAAUUGCUGUGUGAUAGGGUUCCCAUUCCUAUGCCAUGUUUGUGUCACUGGACAGCAGUUUUUAAGGGCACCCAGUAAAGAUAUGAAUACAGAAAAACUAACAUAACUGUACUCUUCAUUCUAAAAAGAAAAUGAAAUUAAAUGCAGAUAGAAUUUUUAGAAGUUCUAAAUAAGAGACUUUUUGGUCUAUUUUAUGGUUAAACCCUUGCCGUUUUGUUGUUUUGUAUUGAUGUUACACUAUUUAAUGUUUCAUGAUUGGUUUAGAUCAUGUAAAUCCCAUUUCAAGUAUAUUUAAAUUUUAAAGACGUCUUUUUAAUUGCAUUGUAACUGGCAACUCUGUGUUGUCCUCAUGUAAUAGGCAGUAUCAAGAUGAGUGUAUUCUGAAGUAGUUGAUAGUGGAAGCCCACUCCAAUCCCAGCACUAUGUCUUUCAGACUUUCCAUAUUGACAAGGAAGAGCCAACAGUGAGCGGUCCAUUUGGUAUCUUCCAGCCCCCAGAUCACUGCCCAGGAGGAAAGCUCACUUUCCCAUUCCCUUCUCUGCUCAUUUAUGCUUUGAUACUGCUGUUCUGAAAGUGCACAGUCUUGGCUUUGCAUCUGGGCUGGCAAGCUGGUGAAGGUGGUAUGAAGAGGUUGUUUCCACAGACCAGUUCCACACUGGUUUCCUGCACACACUGGGCUGUGUACCAACUUUAAAACCAGACCUUCCCCAUGACUCUUUUAUUUAAUUAUAGCUACUUUAAAAUAACCAUUAUGUCUCCAUGACCAUGACAUUGGAUUUCAGCAUUUUUUCACAGCAGUAUUUACUGUAUUUAGUAACAAAUUACUGAAAUAUCAGCCAUGCUAUUUUAAGAACGAGUUAAAUGUGAUAUUUAAUUAAUUGUGUCUUAAAGUUUGGAAUAGAGAAUCCCAGUAAUAUUAAGCUUAAAUUUUUAAUUACAGCAGAUAAACUUAAAGCCCUAUAGUAUAUAAUUAGUUCUAACAGAAAAGCAAACUUCCUUUUAUUUGGGUCAGACUUAAUUUUUGUGCUCAGUGUAGUGCACACAAGUACUGCUCAGUAAUAAAAAAUAUUAUGCAGCACAGAUCUCCUACAUUUUCUGUGCAGAUGAAAAUCAUUAGUAAAUUUUCCUUGUUCAGAUUAAAGGAAGUUGAAAAUAUGCUGAAUCACUUAUUAUUUUAAUCCAGAUGUUGUUAUCCAUAAAUAUUAAUCUCGAAGAUAAAAUGCUAGCUUAAUAAAUACUAGUAAACUUUACAAAAUUAAUUACAUUUUAAAUAUGUGAUUCAGAGUCUAAGAUUCAAAUCUUAGGAUGGGAUGAAUCGCCCUCUGGAGGUGCCCAUUUUAGUUUCCUGACUUCACAGGAAUCUUGCUCUGAAGUGACUAGUUCAAACUAAAAGUUAAGUGACUGGCCUAUCACCUUCAUUGAGAAAUAACUGAACAUUUCGUACCCCAGUAGAUCUUGUUAUUAGACCUCUCUAAGAAUGGCUGCCUUAUUCCUCACCUUUUCUGUCAGUGUUCUUGUACUGUUUCUAAUAUGAAUAAACACAAGUGUUACUGCUGCCAUUUCCUGUAUAUUGUUUUUUCCUGUCCUUAUCAAUCUUGUUAUCUUAUCUUUCCCUGUUUUUUUUUUCUUUUUCUUUUUUUCUUGACUCUCUACAGCUGCCAUCUUUUCUGAAGCUUUUCAUUUGCUACCUCUCUGACAAUCCUACUUUCCAUGUUGAAAGUAUUAUCCCAACUUCUGAUGUGGAAGAUUGCCGGCCCUUUCUUUGAUGCUGAUACCAGUAUUUUAUUGACUAAUAGUAUUGUAAUGAAGACAUAGAAAAAGAAGACUAUGGUACUCAUGAGAUUUUUUUAUGGUUUGUGUAGUCAAAAAAUAUUGUUCUUUUGCCUUCAUAUAAAAUGUGUUGGUUUCCCAAUGUAACUGUAACUUAAAGAUGUUUGUAGAAAUGUAAAAUUAAAUGUGAAUAGUAUAAAAUCCAUAUUAAAGACAUAAAAGUUUAAUAAAA